GGUUAAGCGACUAAGCGUACACGGUGGAUGCCCUGGCAGUCAGAGGCGAUGAAGGACGUGCUAAUCUGCGAUAAGCGUCGGUAAGGUGAUAUGAACCGUUAUAACCGGCGAUUUCCGAAUGGGGAAACCCAGUGUGAUUCGUCACACUAUCAUUAACUGAAUCCAUAGGUUAAUGAGGCGAACCGGGGGAACUGAAACAUCUAAGUACCCCGAGGAAAAGAAAUCAACCGAGAUUCCCCCAGUAGCGGCGAGCGAACGGGGAGCAGCCCAGAGCCUGAAUCAGUGUGUGUGUUAGUGGAAGCGUCUGGAAAGGCGCGCGAUACAGGGUGACAGCCCCGUACACAAAAAUGCACAUACUGUGAGCUCGAUGAGUAGGGCGGGACACGUGGUAUCCUGUCUGAAUAUGGGGGGACCAUCCUCCAAGGCUAAAUACUCCUGACUGACCGAUAGUGAACCAGUACCGUGAGGGAAAGGCGAAAAGAACCCCGGCGAGGGGAGUGAAAAAGAACCUGAAACCGUGUACGUACAAGCAGUGGGAGCACAGAGCAAUCUGUGUGACUGCGUACCUUUUGUAUAAUGGGUCAGCGACUUAUAUUCUGUAGCAAGGUUAACCGAAUAGGGGAGCCGAAGGGAAACCGAGUCUUAACUGGGCGUUAAGUUGCAGGGUAUAGACCCGAAACCCGGUGAUCUAGCCAUGGGCAGGUUGAAGGUUGGGUAACACUAACUGGAGGACCGAACCGACUAAUGUUGAAAAAUUAGCGGAUGACUUGUGGCUGGGGGUGAAAGGCCAAUCAAACCGGGAGAUAGCUGGUUCUCCCCGAAAGCUAUUUAGGUAGCGCCUCGUGAAUUCAUCUCCGGGGGUAGAGCACUGUUUCGGCAAGGGGGUCAUCCCGACUUACCAACCCGAUGCAAACUGCGAAUACCGGAGAAUGUUAUCACGGGAGACACACGGCGGGUGCUAACGUCCGUCGUGAAGAGGGAAACAACCCAGACCGCCAGCUAAGGUCCCAAAGUCAUGGUUAAGUGGGAAACGAUGUGGGAAGGCCCAGACAGCCAGGAUGUUGGCUUAGAAGCAGCCAUCAUUUAAAGAAAGCGUAAUAGCUCACUGGUCGAGUCGGCCUGCGCGGAAGAUGUAACGGGGCUAAACCAUGCACCGAAGCUGCGGCAGCGACGCUUAUGCGUUGUUGGGUAGGGGAGCGUUCUGUAAGCCUGUGAAGGUGUACUGUGAGGUAUGCUGGAGGUAUCAGAAGUGCGAAUGCUGACAUAAGUAACGAUAAAGCGGGUGAAAAGCCCGCUCGCCGGAAGACCAAGGGUUCCUGUCCAACGUUAAUCGGGGCAGGGUGAGUCGACCCCUAAGGCGAGGCCGAAAGGCGUAGUCGAUGGGAAACAGGUUAAUAUUCCUGUACUUGGUGUUACUGCGAAGGGGGGACGGAGAAGGCUAUGUUGGCCGGGCGACGGUUGUCCCGGUUUAAGCGUGUAGGCUGGUUUUCCAGGCAAAUCCGGAAAAUCAAGGCUGAGGCGUGAUGACGAGGCACUACGGUGCUGAAGCAACAAAUGCCCUGCUUCCAGGAAAAGCCUCUAAGCAUCAGGUAACAUCAAAUCGUACCCCAAACCGACACAGGUGGUCAGGUAGAGAAUACCAAGGCGCUUGAGAGAACUCGGGUGAAGGAACUAGGCAAAAUGGUGCCGUAACUUCGGGAGAAGGCACGCUGAUAUGUAGGUGAAGUCCCUCGCGGAUGGAGCUGAAAUCAGUCGAAGAUACCAGCUGGCUGCAACUGUUUAUUAAAAACACAGCACUGUGCAAACACGAAAGUGGACGUAUACGGUGUGACGCCUGCCCGGUGCCGGAAGGUUAAUUGAUGGGGUCAGCGCAAGCGAAGCUCUUGAUCGAAGCCCCGGUAAACGGCGGCCGUAACUAUAACGGUCCUAAGGUAGCGAAAUUCCUUGUCGGGUAAGUUCCGACCUGCACGAAUGGCGUAAUGAUGGCCAGGCUGUCUCCACCCGAGACUCAGUGAAAUUGAACUCGCUGUGAAGAUGCAGUGUACCCGCGGCAAGACGGAAAGACCCCGUGAACCUUUACUAUAGCUUGACACUGAACAUUGAGCCUUGAUGUGUAGGAUAGGUGGGAGGCUUAGAAGUGUGGACGCCAGUCUGCAUGGAGCCGACCUUGAAAUACCACCCUUUAAUGUUUGAUGUUCUAACGUUGACCCGUAAUCCGGGUUGCGGACAGUGUCUGGUGGGUAGUUUGACUGGGGCGGUCUCCUCCUAAAGAGUAACGGAGGAGCACGAAGGUUGGCUAAUCCUGGUCGGACAUCAGGAGGUUAGUGCAAUGGCAUAAGCCAGCUUGACUGCGAGCGUGACGGCGCGAGCAGGUGCGAAAGCAGGUCAUAGUGAUCCGGUGGUUCUGAAUGGAAGGGCCAUCGCUCAACGGAUAAAAGGUACUCCGGGGAUAACAGGCUGAUACCGCCCAAGAGUUCAUAUCGACGGCGGUGUUUGGCACCUCGAUGUCGGCUCAUCACAUCCUGGGGCUGAAGUAGGUCCCAAGGGUAUGGCUGUUCGCCAUUUAAAGUGGUACGCGAGCUGGGUUUAGAACGUCGUGAGACAGUUCGGUCCCUAUCUGCCGUGGGCGCUGGAGAACUGAGGGGGGCUGCUCCUAGUACGAGAGGACCGGAGUGGACGCAUCACUGGUGUUCGGGUUGUCAUGCCAAUGGCACUGCCCGGUAGCUAAAUGCGGAAGAGAUAAGUGCUGAAAGCAUCUAAGCACGAAACUUGCCCCGAGAUGAGUUCUCCCUGACUCCUUGAGAGUCCUGAAGGAACGUUGAAGACGACGACGUUGAUAGGCCGGAUGUGUAAGCGCAGCGAUGCGUUGAGCUAACCGGUACUAAUGAACCGUGAGGCUUAACCUU
rnacentral:rRNA from 1 species